rnacentral:rRNA from 14 species
ACCCUGAAUAAGGGAGUGAAAUAGAACCUGAAACCAUACGCUUACAAGCGGUCGGAGCGGAUUUAUCCGUGACGGCGUGCCUUUUGCAUAAUGAGCCUACGAGUUACCGUUGCUAGCAAGGUUAAGUGAUUAAGUCACGGAUCCGUAGCGAAAGCGAGUCUGAAUAGGGCGCUUUAGUUAGUAGUGGUAGACGCGAAACCGUGUGAUCUACCCAUGGGCAGGUUGAAGCUGUAGUAACAUACAGUGGAGGCCCGAACCGAUAUACGUUGAAAAGUGUUCGGAUGACCUGUGGGUAGGGGUGAAAGGCCAAUCAAACUCGGAAAUAGCUCGUA